UACGUAGGGUGCAAGCGUUAAUCGGAAUUACUGGGCGUAAAGCGUGCGCAGGCGGUCUUGCAAGACAGAUGGGAAAUCCCCGGGCUUAACCUGGGAACUGCAUUUGUGACUGCAAGGCUGGAGUGCGGCAGAGGGGGAUGGAAUUCCGCGUGUAGCAGUGAAAUGCGUAGAUAUGCGGAGGAACACCGAUGGCGAAGGCAAUCCCCUGGGAUAACACUGACGCUCAUGCACGAAAGCGUGGGGAGCAAACAGG
rnacentral:rRNA from 1 species